rnacentral:lncRNA from 1 species
UGCAGGAAGUAAGUUGCCUGUCACACUCCGUGUCACAUGUGCUGACCUCUGUAAGCAGCUGGGACCCAAGCCUGGGGUACCUGCUGCCAUUCAGCUGACUCUAUGGCCCCAAACUGCACUUCACCACAGGGUGCCAUCUGUGUUCAGUGGUGCCAUCUCUCCUAGAUGGGUGACACCUAAAAGCUGUGUCCUGACUACCCCAUACCUGACAUCUACAUGAGGCAAACAUGAUGUGGGAGGCUUAGCAGUGGGUUGAGGGCUUGCCUGGAUUGAAAGGAUUUUGCUUUCUUAUAAGAAGCAAGUGAAGAAGGGGUAGAGAAGUGGCAGGCUUGGCUAGAGUCCACAGCCUUGGUGGCAUGUCAGGCCCCUGGUAGUCCCGCCUGUCCUCUUAAACAUUCAGGCCGCAGCCCAAGGACUGACUGCACUGCCUUGCUGCUUUGAGUCCUUAUGAACAUCUCUUCUUGCAGAUCUCUGCCAAAUGCACCCAGUACAGCAGUUGCAGUGGGCCAGUGUAAUUGUAGUAAGAACCAAGCCAGGUGAUCGAGAGACCACUCACACUGGCACAAGACAGAGGGCAGCAGCAAUUGACAGGCCUGGUCCACGAAGAACCGGCACCACCUAGAAACAGACCCACAUGCCUAGAGGUGCCAGGGAAACCUCUGCAGAUCCACUGUGUGCAUGAGUCACCAGCCCUGUCUGGAGACAGCUGACCACCCUCCCUUCUGAACCUGGCUGAUGGUGAGGUUGGCAAUGGCC